rnacentral:lncRNA from 1 species
GUGCAGUAGAGUCACACAAGGAUACACAGCUGGUGUUUCAUGAUAAUGUCUUGCUAUGUCUGAAAAUAGGUAUAUGAAGAUGGAAGAAAUAUAAGCAAGCAGCUCUUGAGCUUUAGAGCUCUGGCUCUGGCUUUCCUGCUCUGAUGAUGCUCUUUUGGUGAUGACUGGCUCCAUGCCCUGUUCUUUAUUGGGGAAUUAACUCACUCACCUCACAAAAGACUACAUUGACUAAAUGAACCCCUCCGCUGGUGGCCUACAGCAGACACUAGUGUCGGGGGCGGAGACGGGUGGAGAAUCCCCGCAGUCCCUGGCCUGACUCUCCCGACAACACAGAAGAUUGUGGAAGAAUCAGACAGAGAUCGAAGUUGUACUUUUAUUCAGCAAGCAUGCAAGAGUACAGCUGCCUUUUCUCAGCGAGACAGCAAGGAGGCCGUGACCAGAUGUAGCCUUUAGUUUUGGACAUCUCAACCUCCAGAACUGUGAGCUGGAUAAACUUCAAUUGUUUGGAAUGUCCCCAAUCUACAGCAUUCUGUUAUUGCCACAGAAAAUGGACUACAACAUCAGGCAUUCUGGAGACAAAGUACUUCUGAUCUUGGGAAUGUUUGAGUGAUAAUGGUAAGAUUAAACUUUAGGACAGUGAGUGUGGCAGAUGGAUUUUAAAAGAAAGAGGAAACAGAUAAAAAAUAACUGUUAAUAGAUAGAAAAUUAGGUUCCAUUACCCCUGGGACAAAAAUACUACAUGAAUUGGAGAGGUG